rnacentral:rRNA from 1 species
UGGGGAAUAUUGGACAAUGGGCGCAAGCCUGAUCCAGCCAUGCCGCGUGGGUGAAGAAGGCCUUCGGGUUGUAAAGCCCUUUUGUCCGGAAAGAAAAGCACUGGAUUAAUACUUCGGUGUUCUGACGGUACCGGAAGAAUAAGCACCGGCUAACUUCGUGCCAGCAGCCGCGGUAAUACGAAGGGUGCAAGCGUUACUCGGAAUUACUGGGCGUAAAGCGUGCGUAGGUGGUUCGUUAAGUCUGAUGUGAAAGCCCUGGGCUCAACCUGGGAAUUGCAUUGGAUACUGGCGGGCUAGAGUGCGGUAGAGGAUGGCGGAAUUCCCGGUGUAGCAGUGAAAUGCGUAGAGAUCGGGAGGAACAUCUGUGGCGAAGGCGGCCAUCUGGACCAGCACUGACACUGAGGCACGAAAGCGUGGGGAGCAAACAGG